CCCCUAUAGCUCAGUGGUAGAGCACUCGCUUCGUAAGCGAAAGGUCGGUGGUUCGAUCCCGCCUGGGGGCUCUUCUUUU
rnacentral:tRNA from 1 species